rnacentral:lncRNA from 1 species
AUCGACUUGCUUCUUGUAGACGCCUUAUAUACUGCAGGUGUAUGGCGGGUCUGUGCACGUGCCGGAUAUGCUUCCGCUGGUAUCCGGGCGUGACAGUAAAGCAUACAUAUAAACUGAAAAGUAGAAUGAUUCUUGAAAUUUAGAAUGAACUUAUAUAUUAGAAUAGGACUGUUGUUCGCAGUUACGUUAGAAAGAAAGAUGAAGGAAACAAACCUGAGAAAUGGAUUCUGGUGGAGUUGUUCCAAACAGAU